UACGACUACAUAUCAGGCAUAUCAAUAAGCGGAGGAAAAGAAACUAACUAGGAUUCCCUUAGUAACGGCGAGUGAAGCGGGAAGAGCUCAAAUUUGAAAUCUUCAAGGUUUUACCUUGACGAAUUGUAGUUUAAAGAAGUGUUUUCUGUUGGAGUUUUGGUAAAAGUUCUUUGGAAUAGGACAUCAUAGAGGGUGAGAAUCCCGUAUUUGACCAUUAUUUCCAGCUUUGUGAUACACUUUCAAAGAGUCGGAUUGUUUGGGAAUGCAGUCCAAAAUGGGUGGUAAAUUUCAUCUAAAGCUAAAUAUUGGCGAGAGACCGAUAGCGAACAAGUACCGUGAGGGAAAGAUGAAAAGAACUUUGAAAAGAGAGUUAAACAGUACGUGAAAUUGUCAAAAGGGAAGCGUUUGACACCAGUGUUGUUUUCUCGAAAAUCAAUUAAAAAGAGUUGGAUUUUGUGUUGUAUUGACCUUAACAGCUUGCUUCACUCUUUUCCAGCUUUUUUUAAUGCACUUUUCGUUUAACAAGUCAACAGUCAGUUUCUUUUGUUGUAAAAGGGUCAUUGGAAGGUGGCUUUCUCUUCGGAGAAAGUGUUUAUAGCCUUUGAUCUCUGCAAUCGGAGAGACUGAGGUCUGCAGCGUAGAUCCUUCGGGGUUAGAUACAUUUGUGCUAAGCUACAGCUUUUCAUAGACAACUUGUUGACUAUGUUUAGUCUUGUGACUUACCCGCUUAUGCUAUUUUACCUACGCUUAGGAUGUUGAGCGCAUGUCUCUCUCU
rnacentral:rRNA from 1 species